rnacentral:rRNA from 1 species
UCUUGCGCAAUGCGCGAAAGCGUGACGCAGCAACGCCGCGUGGGGGAAGAAGGCCUUCGGGUUGUAAACCCCUUUCAGGAGGGACGAAGCCAGAGCGGUUAAUAGCCGACCUUGGUGACGGUACCUCCAGAAGAAGCCCCGGCUAACUACGUGCCAGCAGCCGCGGUAAUACGUAGGGGGCAAGCGUUGUCCGGAAUUAUUGGGCGUAAAGCGCGUGUAGGCGGUCCGAUAAGUCGGCUGUGAAAGUCCAGGGCUCAACUCUGGGAUGCCGGCCGAUACUGUUGGACUAGAGUUCGGAAGAGGCGAGUGGAAUUCCCGGUGUAGCGGUGAAAUGCGCAGAUAUCGGGAGGAACACCAAUGGCGAAGGCAGCUCGCUGGGACGUUACUGACGCUGAGACGCGAAAGCGUGGGGAGCAAAC